rnacentral:rRNA from 1 species
AGUGAACGCUGGCGGCGUGCCUAAUACAUGCAAGUCGAACGGACAAGUAAGAGCUUGCUCUUAUGAGUUAGUGGCGCACGGGUGAGUAAUGUAUAGCUAAUCUGCCCUACACUAGAGGACAACAGUUGGAAACGGCUGCUAAUACUCUAUACUCCUGUCUUACAUAAGUUAGAUAGGGAAAGUUUUUCGGUGUAGGAUGAGGCUAUAUUGUAUCAGCUAGUUGGUGAGGUAAUGGCUCACCAAGGCUAUGACGCAUAACUGGUCUGAGAGGAUGAUCAGUCACACUGGAACUGAGACACGGUCCAGACUCCUACGGGAGGCAGCAGUAGGGAAUAUUGCUCAAUGGGGGAAACCCUGAAGCAGCAACGCCGCGUGGAGGAUGACACUUUUCGGAGCGUAAACUCCUUUUGUUAGGGAAGAAUAAUGACGGUACCUAACGAAUAAGCACCGGCUAACUCCGUGCCAGCAGCCGCGGUAAUACGGAGGGUGCAAGCGUUACUCGGAAUCACUGGGCGUAAAGGACGCGUAGGCGGAUUAUCAAGUCUCUUGUGAAAUCCUAUGGCUUAACCAUAGAACUGCUUGGGAAACUGGUAAUCUAGAGUGAGGGAGAGGCAGAUGGAAUUGGUGGUGUAGGGGUAAAAUCCGUAGAGAUCACCAGGAAUACCCAUUACGAAGGCGAUCUGCUGGAACUCAACUGACGCUAAUGCGUGAAAGCGUGGGGAGCAACAGGAUUAGAUACCCUGGUAGUCCACGCCCUAAACGAUGUAUACUAGUUGUUGCUAAGCUAGUCUUGGCAGUAAUGCAGCCUAACGGAUUAAGUAUACCGCCUGGGGAGUACGGUCGCAAGAUUAAAACUCAAAGGAAUAGACGGGGACCCGCACAAGCGGUGGAGCAUGUGGUUUAAUUCGAAGAUACGCGAAGAACCUUACCCGGACUUGAUAUCUAACAAAUCAUCUAGAGAUAGAAGAGUGUCUGCUU